UUCAAACGUCUAGUUGUAUACUGACUGUUAUAAAAUUAUUGACUGUUGAUCGCUGCAAAUGCUUCAUGCAGUGAUUCUAUAUAAUACGGGAGCAUUAAAUCUAAGAAUGUUAGGUACGAAAGUGAUCUUUCUUAACUUUAAUUUGUAAUCGCACUAUUAUAGCCAGUGGCGUAGCCAGGAUUUGUGUAUGGGGGGUGUUAAGAAGCCUGCAAACCCCCCCCCCCCCCCCGUAUUAAAGCGGGUGGGUUCGGGGGUCCCCCCCCCCGGGAAAAUGUGGAUUUUAAGGUGUAAAAUAGUGGUAUUUAGCUGUUUUCGGUACUUAAAUUUAAAUAUUGUAAUGGUAAAUUUUUAUUAAUUGUUAAUAUGAAAUUUGUUUGAGUGAUGAAUAAGAAAUUUAAUUAAAAUUUGCUGCUAAGGGGGGGGUUUGAACCCCUAAAACCCCCCCCCUGGCUACGCCCCUGAUUAUAGCUAGUACUUGAACAUUGCUUUUCGUAGCCAGUGAAUCACAGUUGCGUAUAUGAAACAAGAUUAUUUAUAUUGUAUUACUUUUUAAGUUACAAAUAUUAAUAUACAGGCUAUUUACACUCUAGAGAGAGUAAAGUGUUUACAUGUAGACCAACACAUUUAGAGAAAAAAAGACAAAAAUUGAAUACUACUACUGCGAUUCAGUAUGAAGAGAGAAAAAUGAAGUAGGUACAUUAAUUAACACCUAAAUGUUCUUAGCAAGUCCCGGACCUAGAAGGAAGGAAGGAGGAACGUUGGUUGGUAUGAUCGUCCCAAUUAUCCACCCAGCCCAGAUGAAUUCAAUCUUGGACCACUAUCUAGUCCUAAGAUUGGAUUCCAGAUGACCACAACUCAUGACACGGAUUAUCAUGUGGAGAGCAGUUAAACAUGUUGAUGUAAGCAAGGAAAUAUCAAGUAAGACUGUGGUUGGUUGUGACACUAUAAUUUGCCUGAAAUUUACUAUAUUUAAUAGAGAGUACACCAAUCCCUCGCAUAGCACGUCUUCAAUUAAUGCGAAUUCAGUUAGCACGAUGUAAAUUUUACUGCCCUAGUCUCGAAUAGCACGUCUGUAAAUUUCAGUUAGCACGAAAUCGCCACAGGCUAAAAAAAAUCUCGGAAACGACGCGACGUCAGGUAUGGAAUUCGAGGGGGGAAGAGUGGUUUGGAAUGCGAGGGGAAAGAGAUGCGCACGCAGAUAAACAAACACCGGGCCGUACUGUUGAUGCCCGGCCGCAGACCAGGCCGUACCGUUGAUGCCCGGCUGCAGACCAGGCCGUACCGUACAGAAACCAAAGCAGAUGAAAUUGGACACGUUUUUAAAAAAAAAAAAGCAAGAUGAUAGUGUUAAUUUCACCCCAGAAAAUAUUUAACUAACUUUUAUGUUUUGUAUAUGUACAUAUUGUACAUACAGUAAACUCCCGGUAUAUCGCGCCCCGAUUGAUCGCAGAAUCGGGUAUAUCGCGGGUCAAACCAUGUCCCCCAGUCAGAAAUGAAUAAUAAUAAUGGAAUAAAUGGUUGACAGCCGAUUAGGAUAAUUUUGCGUUGUAACUAACAAACUAAGCAUCGGGCAGAAAAAAGCCUAGGCGUAGAAAAUGUCCGCAGUAAAAUUAUAAACAAGAUAUCUCCGUACAUUAUUCCUCUAUCUUGUAUGGUUUUCAAAUUAUGGUCCAAUCCAGCCCAGUGAUAUUUUCUGAAACACUAGUUCUUAACGUCGCUUUAUCUCACAAAUGAAGCAUCGGACAGGGGACCUGAUAGAGCCCACCGUCCAGCGACAUUAUCCAGCGUGACUCAGCUGGGGAUUGAUGUUGGAUAGGCUUGGUUGUCGGCAAGCGCUGGGUAGGGAGAGGCGAGCCGAGAAUAUGGAGAGAGGUAGAGAUUAGAGCGGGCAGAAACACAACGAGGGGGAGUGGGGGAGGGAAUGUGUUCCCGCAGCACACAGGCAGAGCAUGAGUCACUUGACUGAGCAGCGUCCCUGCGUACAAGGCAAAAUCAGGUAGUCCGGUGUUUAAAAUUCCACUCCAGAAUCUUAAUUGGUACUUUACUGGACAUCUGUAUAUAAAUGUUUUGUUACAACUUAAACCUACAGACGUAAUAUUAUUGGGUAAUUCAUUGUAUUAUACACGUUCAUCUUUUUAAUUUGGUAUAAUGUUUUAACAUUAAAUAGUAAAGUAAAUCAGCUAGGGUAUUUUUAAUCUUUGCCCAGGAAUUCCCAGUGGUCCAAUACUUACGUGAACCAUACUGUACCACUUUUGCCGUGAGGUAGUAAACAAGUCCCGGAAAUGUUUAUGUGUAGCGGUCUUCCGACCUUUAACCAGAGGCUGGGGAAUAUAACACUUGCCGAUCCGAGCCACACACACUCAGCAACUCGACACAGCGUUUGGUGAAAUAAAUAAAGACAAAGUUUAACACGGUUUUUAAUACGACGUCACUGAUUGCGCUAAAAUUAAAUUGGCGCAAUUUUUGUUUCCCACAUGUGACCAUUUAUAAUUUACUGUAAGCAUGGAUAAUAAAGUUUAACCACUUGACACGAUAGACGAUUCUUUAUUUUUUAUAGUACGAAUGCUAGAAUCGUUUUUUCCUUUAUCUGCGGCCUGCUUCUGCAAAAGACAAGCUAUCUGUAAGUAAAUCUAGAAUUUUUAUUUUGUCAAUCAAACUCGGUACUUUGCGAUUCAUAUUCAGUUUGAAGUAUCACUACGGCCUUUCUUUUUAGAAGACUUUGACCACAGAAUCGUGUGUAACCGCACACACUGCACUUACUUUGUUACGGACACUGACGAAGCAGAUACUGUGGCUAACACCACGAGACUGGCAGCAGCAGCUUGUGUGCCGCACAUGUGUAUGGCGGCGUGUGGCGCGCUCGUAGGCCGUGCGACAAACUGUGCGCGGCACGCGGAAAAAUAAAAACAAUUCAACAUUUAAUAUUUAUCUUUAAAAUUUAAUAUUUUUAUUUUUUCACCCGUGUUUAGUGGAAACUGCGGAUGCAAAGUCCGCACAAAGGCGGGCCGUCUAUACUGUGCGUGCUUGCCGACCUAUUAGAACACAGGCGGUGUUUUAUGCCUUUUGACCAUGGUCACAUCGAAACAUCGCGGUUAUGCAACAACGCGGGUAAAAGUUAUGUCCCCCGACAACCGCAUUAAAUAGGGAGUGUACCCGUAUUUUAAUGUUAUGUUUGUGCUCUAGGGAAAAUCUAAAUCUGUUUAUCUGUUAACUGAUUUGUUUACAUAGCCGCUUUUAUAAGAGGUGUGCAUAACAAAUUAAAUGUUUACAUAUGGCUGUGUGUUUUAAAGUUAUAUAAAACCGGUUCUUAAUUUCAUAAAAGUGUUUUAAUUUUGUUAAGUUUUAAACGUAAUAACAAAGGAUCCAGCUGCUUGCAACAGCAGGCAGACAGACAGACGCGCGCGCGUGUUGAAGGUCACGCCUGGGCGGGCAAGCCAACCUGCUGACUGACGGUAAAUAUGUUACCACUUAUCUCCCGUUACACUGUGCCAUGUUUUAUUUAUCUAACGUAUUCGGUGGUAGGCUUAAAAAGAUAAAUGAUAUGACAUUUUCAAGUAUUAUUCUACGCAUUUAUAUUAUGUAAAGAUUACUUCCCUACACAUCUUGGAACACAUUAAAUAAUUUAGCCUUAUAUUUAUGGGGACUAAUGCUUCAGAAUACGCGAUUUCGAUUAACACGAACAUUUUUAGGAACGAAUUAGUCGUGCUAAGUGAGGGAUUGGUGUAUUUUGUAUCACUGUCCGGAACUCAACCAAAAUUCAUUGUAAAGAACUAUAUCCCAGGAAUUUCAAUUUUGCUAAAAUAAUGUUUAAACACUAAUUCUUUGAUUCAUAAUGUUGCAUGUAAAGACAUUCAACAAUUUUACUUUAUGAUUUAAUCAUAAACUUUGGAUACUUUAAUCCCAGAGGUCUAGCUCUUAAAGCACUGAGUUCAAGUCAGAGUACUUACCUACUUAUAUUUGGUAGUGAAUUUAAUUUCAUACCAAGUCAUUAUUUUGAAUAUGAUAUUUUGAAGGAUUAUCUGAUUUAGUUUGUUUUUCUUGGACAAAUAGAACUGAACAACGGUUAGGAUCCUUAGCUUCAUUUAAACCAAAACAUGUUUGUUAAUAUUUUCUAUAUGUGAAUUAUACUCAAUAAUUGAUGUAAGGUAUGUUGUUCACGUAAUAUGAUCAAGAAAACGUUAAUAAUUAAAUUCAGUUUGAUUUAUUUAAGAUAAUUUUUCAUUUUGUUAUUUCAUGGCACCCUUUUGAGCUUACGCAAACUUUUUGUGUCUAUUCCAAGAAUUAGUUGGUUAAAAUUUAAUUACUUUCUUAGGAGAACAUACUAAUGUUUUACCCAUUAUUAUUAUUGAAAUGAUUAUGUUUAAAACUUUAAUUUGUGUUUUUAAAAUUUUUUGUCAUACAUGACAUGAAACUUUCAAAAGUUCACACUACAACACAUUAUUGAACUUCAGGUAGAGGUGGGUCGAAAAGUAACAACCUGAUACUUUGUCACUGAUACGCUCCUGUAUCAGGAAUGGCAAACGAGUACACUUGAAAAGUAUCAAGAACUUUAGUAUCAGUUCAGAAUUAGCCUGGAACAACACCACGGCCAAUGUGCGCAGAACCCGAUCGCAGAUGACGGUCACUUGGGCGGAGCUUGUGAAAGGGGAGGGAGCAGGAACGACGAAUAAGGGAUAAAGAAGGGAAAUAAUGUAGGGGAGGAAGCGCAGGGGAAGGAGUUGAAGGAGAGGCGCAAAGCAAAAUUGUUACGAGUCAUUUGGUUAUUUUCCCACAUCAAAGUACGCUCAGUGCGCAGUGCCUGCACAGUCUCGUUCAAUAAUAAAACUAAUGAAAUUUUAAUAUUAAAAAGUACAUUAAUACAAGAUAUAAUAUUUAUAUUUGUGCACCUAACAGCUAUGAAAAUGCAAAUAAAUUCUCAGUUGACACUAAUAACAGAUGUAAUCAACAUAUGGACUUUUUUUCCGAAAACAAUUAGUAACUAGUGUUUUCAUACAUUAAAAGAUUACGAUUUUAUCAAAAAUUAAAAAUAAAAAAAACAGAUACGUACAUUAGUGAGCAUACUAUAUCAAUGUUUACGUUUCAAAUGUUUCUUCAGAUUAGUCGAUGAUGAUUUAUAACUCAGUUUUUGUUUACACAAAUUACAAUUAGCAAACUCAUUAUUUUCCGUAAAAAAAUUCCACACAAAUGAAGUCUUUUCCUGCACUUAUCCAUUCCUUAUUUCACUAUAAAGAUACUAACUACAAAGCAUGACAGCCCGCAACAAUGUACAUGGUGGUAAUUAAUACACGGCCAGGACGAACUGCAGUGAAUGUUGAACUGAUUGAUACUGGCUGUAUCAGGCGGGCAUGAGAGUAACAGAGGUAGAGAAUUACCGGGCGUGAUAAAUAAUGUAUCAGAGACACCGAUACUUUUUUACGCUGGUGAUGACGGCACGGAGGAUGUGUACCCUGUAACGAGAAUGCUGAUACCUUGUCGCUUCCUGGGACCACUACUGCUCUGAUACAAAAGUAUCAGAGACUUGUACCUAGCUACAUUACUGUAUCAGUAUCAGGUUGGAACAGAUACCGAAAAUUGCUGUAACAACCCACCUCUAACUUCAGGUGAUUGUUUAGUAUCCUGUUUUUGUGUGUAUGUCUUGACUGCAUGACAUGUCUCCAUUAUCCAGGCUGCAAUGAGUGUCAUGUAAAAUCUCACACAUACUCUGUAGUUACAGUAGGACAGCUCAGCUACACGGCUGUAUGCAACCAUUAGCGCAACAGCUGCAUCGGCAGGGCCAGGGCUAGCACAGAUCCAGGCAGCAGCUCGCAGCUCUACCCAGCACCAUACAAUGGCUACAGCAAACCUGCUGAAUAAAUGAACUCGACAAGAAACAUUGCCAGAUAUAGACAAGAUUAAAUUCACAAAAGGUGGAGAUCAUGUUUUAACUUCAUGCCUAAAAAGAACAAAAAUCCAGAAGCAGAUAGAGGUUAUCAAAGGCAACGUGGGAAUUAACAGCCAAAAGAGGCACCAAAAAGUGCCAGUGAACAAAUGCAAGAACAGGCUGCGGAAAAAAAUUUUUUUUUUUGAGAUAGUACCCGCAUCCUUACUAUUCUCAUUUAUAUCUCUUAUUCAAUAAAAAAUACUAAUAAUUUA